UUUGGCACUAGCACAUUUUUGCUUUUGUAUAACUACUUUGAGCAAUUAUGUGUAGUGCCAAUCU
rnacentral:pre_miRNA from 1 species